rnacentral:rRNA from 1 species
AACGAACGCUGGCGGCAGGCCUAACACAUGCAAGUCGAGCGGUCCCUUCGGGGUGCUCGCUGGUUGGCUGAGUAACGCCUGGCAAUAUGCCCUUCUCUACGGAACAGUCCUGUGAAACUGGGGGUCAUCUCGUAACCGUCCUUAGUAGCAAAGAUCUUCCGAGGAAGGAGUAGCCCGCGUUGGAUUAGUUAGUUGGUGGGGUAAUGGCGUACCAAGGCGACAAUACAUAGCUGGUUAGAGAGGAUGAUCAGACACACUGAGACUGGGACGCGGUCCAGACUCCUACGGGAGGCAGCAGUGGGGAAUCUUGGACAAUGGGGGCAAUGAUGAUCGAGCCAUGCCGGGUAAGUGAUGAAGGCGUUAGGGUAGGAAAGCUCUUUCAGCUGGGAAGAUAAUGACGGUACCAGCAGAAGAAGCCCCGGCUAACUCCGUG